rnacentral:rRNA from 1 species
UACGUAGGGGGCAAGCGUUGUCCGGAUUAUUGGGCGUAAAGAGCGUGUAGGCGGCCUUACAGGUCAGCUGUGAAAACUCGAGGCUCAACCUCGAGAGGUCGGUUGAAACCGUAAGGCUAGAGUCCGGAAGAGGAGAGUGGAAUUCCCGGUGUAGCGGUGAAAUGCGCAGAUAUCGGGAAGAACACCCGUGGCGAAGGCGACUCUUUGGUCUGGUAACUGACGCUGAGG